GGAGGGAGUGCCGGAUCCUGGACAGUGUCCUUCGGCGCCCUGGGUUCCAGGGCCUGCGCUGCUGGAAUCGCGCUCCCCGAGCCCCGCAGCCUCCU
rnacentral:pre_miRNA from 1 species